UACGGAGGGAGCUAGCGUUGUUCGGAAUUACUGGGCGUAAAGCGCACGUAGGCGGCUUUGUAAGUUAGAGGUGAAAGCCCGGGGCUCAACCCCGGAAUUGCCUUUAAGACUGCAUCGCUUGAAUCCAGGAGAGGUGAGUGGAAUUCCGAGUGUAGAGGUGAAAUUCGUAGAUAUUGGGAAGAACACCGGUGGCGAAGGCGGCGGGCUGGUCCAUUACUGACGCUGAGGCGCGACAGCGUGGGGAGCAAACAGG
rnacentral:rRNA from 1 species